GAAUUUUGUCUUCAAUAUACUAAUCACAGGGUAUGCCUAGAUCAUAUCUGGACCUCAAAGCCCUCCAGGACUAUGAACACAAGCUGCUACCUCCGUAAUCACAGGGUGUGCGCCAUGACAACUGACUUGGGCCAGCGUCCUAUGUCUGAGCCAAACAUUUUACAACAACUCAUCCAGCUUCUCAUGGUACGAACACAAGCUAGCCAGUGUGGUCAGCUUACUAGGCAGAGUUGAUCAAGUGUAACAGAAACUGUUCACUGUGGGGCAUCGUGGCUUCCUGAUGCUUCUCAGACCUGAACGUCUUUUAGAAAAGAUUAUCCUCGCUGCAUUUUGCAUUUUUGUUUAUUGUUUCCUUGCCACUUGUCUAUGUGCUCUCAAACAUUGUACAUUCUUUUUGCAACCUAACAUUGAAACUACACUAGUGGCACUCGAGCUUGCUUUGUACAAGUCAUUUUAUAGUCAUGCUGGCCUAGUCGUACAAACAAAAAAUUCAAAACAUAAACUCCAGAUAUUGGGACCACAAGCUCAUCCGUCAUACUACUACACAUCCAUUUGGGAUAUAAAUUGAACACAUACUGCUCCCUCAAUCUUGUCGUUGAAAGUGAAAGUAGGGCAGCUCCAUAACUUAUUAACUUAACUAUAUAUAUGCAGGGUUUUUUUUUUCGGUAGGAAAAUUUUUUCGGCACCUGCCGAUAAAUAAGAAAUUUCGGACAUUUCGGAAAUUUCGGAUGAAAUUUAAAUAAAUUCAAAUUGAUUUUUUAAAAAAUUUGACAUUUUUUUACUAAAAAAGCUUUCUAAUAUAUCACUCAUCACAAAUUUAUAUAAUAUUAACGAAAUAACACAAUAUAUUAUUGCGGUAGUACAGCGGGCUGACGGUGGGCGAGCUGCAUAUGCUAGUGUCACGGAAUAUGUGAGUGAGAAAAUUAAAUAUUUUUGAAGAAAUUUAGGGCUUUGAUAAGACUAGAAGAUACGAUGGGUCAUUUUAUUGUUGUUUGGAGUAAUUUUGAAGCGAAAUAUGAAUUUAACCGAAAAAUUUGACCGAUAUAAAAUUUUUUUCGGACCUCACUGAAAAAUGUGAAAUUUCGGAAAUUUCGGCGAAAUUUCGCCGAAAAAGAAAACCCUGUAUAUAUGAUCCCAGAUACUGCAACCUGAAAUGAGAGGUAUCGGUAUAGUUAUCCACUUGGCAGUGAAUUGUGCGGCC
rnacentral:lncRNA from 1 species